AUUGAACGCUGGCGGCAGGCCUAACACAUGCAAGUCGAGCGGAUGAAGGGAGCUUGCUCCUGGAUUCAGCGGCGGACGGGUGAGUAAUGCCUAGGAAUCUGCCUGGUAGUGGGGGAUAACGUCCGGAAACGGGCGCUAAUACCGCAUACGUCCUGAGGGAGAAAGUGGGGGAUCUUCGGACCUCACGCUAUCAGAUGAGCCUAGGUCGGAUUAGCUAGUUGGUGGGGUAAAGGCCUACCAAGGCGACGAUCCGUAACUGGUCUGAGAGGAUGAUCAGUCACACUGGAACUGAGACAGGGUCCAGACUCCUACGGGAGGCAGCAGUGGGGAAUAUUGGACAAUGGGCGAGAGCCUGAUCCAGUCAUGCCGCGUGUGUGAAGAAGGUCUUCGGAUUGUAAAGCACUUUAAGUUGGGAGGAAGGGCAGUAAGUUAAUACCUUGCUGUUUUGACGUUACCAACAGAAUAAGCACCGGCUAACUUCGUG
rnacentral:rRNA from 1 species